GUGCCAGCCGCCGCGGUAAUACCAGCCCCGCGAGUGGUCGGGACUCUUGCUGGGCCUAAAGCGCCCGUAGCCGGCCCGGUAAGUCCCUCCCUAAAGGCCCGGGCUCAACCCGGGAACCGGGAGGGAUACUGCAGGGCUAGGGGGCGGGAGAGGCGGGGGGUACUCCCGGAGUAGGGGCGAAAUCCGAUAAUCCCUGGGGGACCACCAGUGGCGAAGGCGCCCGGCUGGAACGCGCCCGACGGUGAGGGGCGAAAGCCGGGGGAGCGAACCGGAUUAGAUACCCGGGUAGUCCCGGCUGUAAACUAUGCGGGCCAGGUGUCGGGCGGGCGUUAGAGCCCGCCCGGUGCCGCAGGGAAGCCGUUAAGCCCGCCGCCUGGGGAGUACGGCCGCAAGGCUGAAACUUAAAGGAAUUGGCGGGGGGGCACACAAGGGGUGGAGCCUGCGGCUCAAUUGGAGUCAACGCCGGGAACCUCUACCGGGGGCGACAGCAGGAUGACGGCCAGGCUAACGACCUUGCCCGACGCGCUGAGGGGAGGUGCAUGGCCGUCGCCAGCUCGUGCUGUGAAGUGUCCUGUUAAGUCAGGCAACGAGCGAGACCCCCGCCCCUAGUUGCGACCCUGCGGGCGACCGUGGGGGCACACUAGGGGGACUGCCGCCGCUAAGGCGGAGGAAGGAGGGGGCCACGGCAGGUCAGCAUGCCCCUAAACCCCCGAGCUGCACGCGGGCUACAAUGGCGGGGACAGCGGGAUCCGACCCCGAAAGGGGGAGGCAAUCCCUGAAACCCCGCCGUAGUUGGGAUCGGGGGCUGAAACUCGCCCCCGUGAACCUGGAAUCCCUAGUAACCGCGCGUCACCAUCGCGCGGUGAAUACGUCCCUGCCCCUUGUACACACCGCCCGUC
rnacentral:rRNA from 1 species